AUGAACGCUAGCUACAGGCUUAACACAUGCAAGUCGAGGGGCAUCAGGAAGAAAGCUUGCUUUCUUUGCUGGCGACCGGCGCACGGGUGAGUAACACGUAUCCAACCUGCCCUUUACUCGGGGAUAGCCUUUCGAAAGAAAGAUUAAUACCCGAUGGCAUAAUGAUUCCGCAUGGUUUCAUUAUUAAAGGAUUCCGGUAAAGGAUGGGGAUGCGUUCCAUUAGGUUGUUGGUGAGGUAACGGCUCACCAAGCCUUCGAUGGAUAGGGGUUCUGAGAGGAAGGUCCCCCACAUUGGAACUGAGACACGGUCCAAACUCCUACGGGAGGCAGCAGUGAGGAAUAUUGGUCAAUGGGCGCUAGCCUGAACCAGCCAAGUAGCGUGAAGGAUGAAGGCUCUAUGGGUCGUAAACUUCUUUUAUAUAAGAAUAAAGUGCAGUAUGUAUACUGUUUUGUAUGUAUUAUAUGAAUAAGGAUCGGCUAACUCCGUGCCAGCAGCCGCGGUAAUACGGAGGAUCCGAGCGUUAUCCGGAUUUAUUGGGUUUAAAGGGAGCGUAGGUGGACUGGUAAGUCAGUUGUGAAAGUUUGCGGCUCAACCGUAAAAUUGCAGUUGAUACUGUCAGUCUUGAGUACAGUAGAGGUGGGCGGAAUUCGUGGUGUAGCGGUGAAAUGCUUAGAUAUCACGAAGAACUCCGAUUGCGAAGGCAGCUCACUGGACUGCAACUGACACUGAUGCUCGAAAGUGUGGGUAUCAAACAGGAUUAGAUACCCUGGUAGUCCACACAGUAAACGAUGAAUACUCGCUGUUUGCGAUAUACAGUAAGCGGCCAAGCGAAAGCAUUAAGUAUUCCACCUGGGGAGUACGCCGGCAACGGUGAAACUCAAAGGAAUUGACGGGGGCCCGCACAAGCGGAGGAACAUGUGGUUUAAUUCGAUGAUACGCGAGGAACCUUACCCGGGCUUAAAUUGCAGUGGAAUGAUGUGGAAACAUGUCAGUGAGCAAUCACCGCUGUGAAGGUGCUGCAUGGUUGUCGUCAGCUCGUGCCGUGAGGUGUCGGCUUAAGUGCCAUAACGAGCGCAACCCUUAUCUUUAGUUACUAACAGGUCAUGCUGAGGACUCUAGAGAGACUGCCGUCGUAAGAUGUGAGGAAGGUGGGGAUGACGUCAAAUCAGCACGGCCCUUACGUCCGGGGCUACACACGUGUUACAAUGGGGGGUACAGAAGGCAGCUAGCGGGUGACCGUAUGCUAAUCCCAAAAUCCUCUCUCAGUUCGGAUCGAAGUCUGCAACCCGACUUCGUGAAGCUGGAUUCGCUAGUAAUCGCGCAUCAGCCACGGCGCGGUGAAUACGUUCCCGGGCCUUGUACACACCGCCCGUCAAGCCAUGGGAGCCGGGGGUACCUGAAGUACGUAGCCGCAAGGAUCGUCCUAGGGUAAAACUGGUGACUGGGGCU
rnacentral:rRNA from 1 species